rnacentral:rRNA from 1 species
AGCGAACGCUGGCGGCAGGCCUAAACAUGCAAGUCGAACGGAUCCUUCGGGAUUAGUGGCGGACGGGUGAGUAACACGUGGGAACGUGCCUUUUGGUUCGGAACAACUCAGGGAAACUUGAGCUAAUACCGAAUGUGCCCUUCGGGGGAAAGAUUUAUCGCCAUUAGAGCGGCCCGCGUCUGAUUAGCUUGUUGGUGAGGUAAAGGCUCACCAAGGCGACGAUCAGUAGCUGGUCUGAGAGGAUGAUCAGCCACACUGGGACUGAGACACGGCCCAGACUCCUACGGGAGGCAGCAGUUAGGAAUCUUGCGCAAUGGGGGAAACCCUGACGCAGCCAUGCCGCGUGAAUGAUGAAGGUCUUAGGAUUGUAAAAUUCUUCAGCGGGGACGAUAAUGACGGUACCCGCAGAAGAAGCCCCGGCUAACUUCGUGCCAGCAGCCGCGGUAAU